rnacentral:lncRNA from 1 species
CACUUCAGAGAUUAUGGAUUAUUUUAUCUACCACCUGAUUUAUAAAAUCUUUAUUUGCAUGACAUGGCAAUUUAUCGCAACCUAGCCUUUCAAGGCUGAAUACACAGUACAAAUAAUUCUAACACCAAAAAUCAGUUUAGCCAUUCAUGCUCAUAUAUUGUCAUAAGCCAUUCAAUUUAAAACCAUAAAAUUACAGCACAUUAAGUGGUCUCCAAUUACUCUAUUUUCAAAACCAUAAUUCAAUUUCAAGACAAUUUAUUAAAUCAUUUUAUUUAAACACAUUUUACUUAUAAAACAUAAGGAUUUACCAUUUAAACUCAUUUUCCUAUAAAAUAAAAAAAUCGAAUAAAAACCACUCUAGAUAAUUAAGAUGAUAGUAAGGUUACUCACAGUAUCAGGAGUAGAAAUAUUCCUAGUCCCGAUCUUUGGUGUAAUCUCUUUAUCCUUAUCAAAUAGCUCACCACCUAUACAUCACACAUGACACAAAAUUCAAUAAUUUGUGUCAAUUUGUCAUAAACUAUUUCAGGCUCUCUAAAUCUAAAUGAAUGCAUGGAAUGCUCAGUCAACCGCUUAAACGCGAUGUUGACCUAAUUCGGCCUAUCACCCGAUUAAAUUACUAACGCGUCCAAUUUAAUCUCAAAUUACUCCAUUUCUUUUCUAAUACCUCAAUUCACCAAACAUUAUUCAAAUAACACCAAUUUCAGCAUCAAAACCCUCCCAUUUCUUCAUGGAAAAAUUUAGCCAUUACAGUGCACUAACACCGUGAUUUUUCCUACUUAAUUUUCUCACCAUUAUUCAUCAUUUUCUAAGCCAUUUCUCUUGAAAUAAUAACAAUCCAUCACCCACACACAUCAAGGAAGAUUCGGCCAAUGAAGAUUCAUGGGAAAAAUGGAUUCUUUUCUUGUUGUUUUGCUUCUAAAUAUGCUAAACUAACCUUAAUCACUAACAUAACUUAAAAUCAAACAAUUCCAACAUCAUUUCUCUCACCAUACCCAUUCGGCCUACCACUUAUUCACUAUGAAAUCAUGCUUCUCAACCAUAGAAAUAAGAAAAUAAAGCAUGGGUAUUGUAAAUCUCAAGUAAAAAUAAAGAAUUUUCACUUUACCUUGCUUAAUUCCUUGGAUUUUCACACUUUCUCUUGAAUUUUCCUUGGCUAGGGUUUGUUUUCCUUAUUUUCUUUCUUUCCUCUCUUGUUUUCUU